AGUUAAUGAUCUUGACUA
rnacentral:tRNA from 1 species